UGGGAGCUGUAGUUCCCGCCGCACCUCUAAAAAGGCUGGGCAUAGGCAGACGCUGUCCUGUGGGAUCAUUUGAUUGCUGCUUCUUCUCAAGGUCAUGUGGAGCUACUGCAUUGGGCAAAACAACUGCAGGAGAACUCGGAGUUCAGUCCGGAUGAAAUCCUGAAUCUGCCAGAAAAAGGAUACAGAUGAAGUAGGUGCCUCAAGCUGCAGGCCUGAGCACAGGGAGCUGACCGUGAAUCCAGACGACUUGAACUGGAG